rnacentral:misc_RNA from 1 species
GUUGCGAGAAUGCAAGUUGAAGUACUUGCGUUGUGACACUGUAGAACGUAGUAUACGAGGUAUAUAAAUCUGCAGUCAUCUUGAAAUUUUGUGAAAUAUAUAAAUUAUAUUACUUAUAAGUAUAAUUUUUUCCAGAUAUUCAAGUACAUUGGAACUAUAUUUUAUAUUUUCAAACACGUUAAUUCCCUAUGUUGCAAGUGGUGCAAUUUCGUAGGAUACCGUUCAUGCAGUCUUUUUGGAGAACUUUGCAAUGAGCUUACAGAAAGGAAAAUAUCAACUUGUAGCUCCCAAUAUUCAACAUCAGCAAAGAGGAACUCACAACUUGCAGCCAUGUGGACAGACACCACCACAACUUGGAAGAGAAGACUUUGUUAGACCACUAGUGCCUUAUCCACCUCAACACCAGGCAUUCCGACAGCACAUACCCGGACAUACAUCCGUUUCAAGUGGUAACCCUCAUGACAUGAGUAAGCCUGGACCUCUACCCACGCAGGGUGUUCCAUCUGCAGCACUUUCAUACCACCCUCAAUUGCCUCAACCAGGCAUGCCCACUUCAGCUGUUAAUGGAACAGGAGUAUUACCCCAACAUCAGGGCCAGCAGAUUCCAAGACCUCAAGCUGGAUUUACGGCAUUCUACCAUCCAUCCUCACGGCAGAGUGCAUCGAUUCCUGUACACACCAUGCCUCGACAAAACAUGACUACGAUGAACACAAACCCACCAGCACUGAACCAUACACAAAUGGGAGUUAUUUAUUCUGGAAAUCCGAACUUUGGAUCCCCCAUGGCUCAUCAACAACUACUGAUGCAGAGUCCAGUACCAGCUGUUUCUUAUCAUCAUCGACCUCAACAGUAUGCAGCUCCCCAGUAUUCCAUGCCAAAUGCUCAUCAGCAUGUAUUUUUGACAGCUGGUAACCCUCAGUAUGCUUACAACCCACAGAUGCACCAACAGUGUCAAUACUACUAUUCAGUUGUUCCAUCUAUGAUGGGACCCCCACAGCUAACAAUGCAACCGGCGCCCCCUAAUGUGGUUGGUUGUACAACUACGAGAGAAAAGAAGAUUAUUCGAUUGCAGGAUCCAAAUACAGGGCAGGAUUUAACAGAAACAAUUUUGAAUAGUAAAAGAACUCAAAAUACUCCAAGUGAUAGUCCAGAAAAAAGCAUCAUUGCACAAUUUGCAACCCAGGUUGCUGCAGCAGCUACUUCUGUAACCCCUAGAAAAGAGCCAACACCUUCUCCAAACUCAUUCCAAGUAGAAUCUGUAACAAAUAUGGUAAAUAUUGGUGCACCCAAAGACAUGUUGAUGGUUGAUAGUCAACCUAUGAAUUUAGUUACAAACCAUGUUAGUGAUUCAGACAUUUCUCUUAGUACUCCAUUAGAAGUUAAUAAAAGUGUUUUUGUAUCUAGUACAAUUUCAAAGGAUAGUAGUAACCAUAGACCCUCAACUGAAGCAUCUGUAUCUUCUUUGGCUGAAAUUCCAAAUGAGAAAGCAGAACGGGCUGAUCCUGCCAAAUCUGAAUCUAUAGUUAAUAAACAUGAUAUUUGUUUGGAGAAAAUUGUUACAUCCGAAUCUGAUGAUGAUAUAAAUAAAGGUGUAGCAUCCAGAAAAGCUGACAUUCCCAUUGAUCCAGCUAAUGGUCCACAAAAAGAAAUGCAUUCAGAAAGCUGUGCUUUUAUUAGUGUUAAUGGUGAAGAAUUGUUUGAAUCUACAAUCAGUGAGACGGUUGUGCAUUUAAAAACAAACGUGGAAACCCAAACGCCAUUUAAAGACGAUUCUAAUGUUAAGGAGGGUUCACUAGUUGAAAGAAAACUUUUCUCAGAAGGUAAACAAAAGUUUACAGAAAGUGCAAAAAUUAUUCCUGGUGAUAAAGUUCACAUAGAAGUUAAACCAGAAGAAGAAAAGAAAAGGGAUGUAGAUUCCAUUAAAUCAAAGCUUCAACAAUCUCAGGAAAAUGGAGAUAUCUCAUAUUUACCAAAUACCAAUUUAUAUGGAGGAGAAAAAGGACCUGAUGCAAAGGAAUCCAAGAAAGCUCGAGGCAAGAAAAAAGUGAGAGAACUGAAUAGGAAAGGAGAUAAUAAAGAAGGUGGAGAAAUGGAUGCCUAUGUAGACAAGCAGGUUGAUGCUAAGCCAGUAAUCACGACAGUUCAAGAAUCUGUGGCAUCAGUAAAAAGCCAAGUGUCUUCCUCAUUGCCUGUACCAGCUGGCUCCACAAAAAUUAUUAAUGAUGUCAAGGUUGAGCCAUCAUGCAACGAUCUAAAUUCAGAACCACUUAUAAAGACAUCGAUAGUAGAACCCGCAGUUUCAACAUUUAGCCAAGUGUCUUCCACAUCUUCUGUUUCUUCGCUGGCCUCCUCAAUUUCAACCACUGAUAACAAAUUGGAGCUAUCCGAGGUAGAAAGAAAAGUUGCAGAGAAGAAUGAAGAGAACAUAAGAGUGUCACAAGAAAGAGAGAAUGAAGUGGAAGGAAAAGAUAUAUCUGAAUUAGAACUUCCCAAAGAAGAGAUUAAACUGAAGUAUACAUACCAAGAAGACCAGUGGAGCCCAUUGAACCUGGGGGGUAAGAAGCAAUAUGAUCGUACCUUCUUACUUCUGCUGCAGUCUCAGCAAUGCAAGAAACCUCAAGGUUUGCCUGAUCUCGACAUCAUCAAAGAUAAGAUGCUUCAAAAUAAGUUACCAGAUAUCAAUUUAAGACCCCCACCACUCCAAGCACGGAAUCAUCCAGAUCCAUUUGUUCCACUAUUCGCACGAACUGGCUCACCUCGUCCGCCUCCUGGUGGAAUGGGUCGGAGGGCUAGUCAACCCAGUAGUGAAAAACCAAAAAAAAUUAUUAGCAUCUCCACAUCACUUAAUAAGGAUGUUAGACUUCAUGAAGCACAAAAUGCAUGGAGACCAUCGCAUAAAGGUUCUAAGGAGGCUGAUCCUGAAGAUGUCAAGACUCAGGAACUGUACAAACGAUUGAAAGGCAUACUAAACAAGCUUACACCACAGAUGUUCCAGCCGUUAGUCAGAAAGAUAUUUGAGUUACAGAUAGACACUGAAGAUCGAUUAAUUGGUGUGAUUGACUUGGUUUUUCAAAAGGCUAUUGAUGAACCCAGCUUUAGUGUGACGUAUGCCAACUUGUGUAAAAACCUAGCUUCGAUUCAAGUAUCCUCAGGAACUGGUCACCAAGUUAAGUUUAGCAAAUUAUUGUUAAUUAAAUGUCAGCAAGAGUUUGAAAAAGAUGUUGAUGAUUAUGUCAAUAAGAAUGAAUACAUGAAGAAGAUGAAGGAAGCAGAAACGGAAGAAGAGAAAAAGCAGUUGCAAGAAGAUUUAGAAGAAGAAGAAAAGAAGGCAAAGAGACGCUCUUUAGGAAACAUAAGGUUUAUUGGUGAAUUGUUUAAACAAAAUAUGCUGACCCCCAAAAUCAUGGAUGGUUGCAUACAACGUCUUCUUCGUCAAGGAGAUGAAGACUCGUUAGAAUGUCUUUGUCGGCUUUUGACCACUGUUGGAAAAGACUUAGAAGGUGAAAAAGGAAAAAAUAAAAUUUGGACUCAACAGAUGGACAACUACUGUCUCACAAUGAGAGAUAUAAUAAAGAAAAAACUUACUUGCCCCAGAAUAAGGUUCAUGUUGCAAGAUGUCCUAGAACUUCGACAGAAAAACUGGAUACCGAGGAGAGAUCAGAAUAACCCCAAGACAAUUGACCAGAUCCACAAAGAAGCUCAGAAAGAAGCUCAAGAGCAGCAGAUGUUACUGCAGCAGGUGAUCCCUCAUAAGAGACCCGAAGAUAGAGAGAGGAGAAAAAGUCGUGGCAACACACCAUAUUCAGAAGAUGGUUGGAAUACAGUUUCAAACAAGCACAGGAUUCAGAUUGAUCCUAAUAAGAUAAAACAAUUAGCUAAGAAUCAGCAGAACACCGAAAACAUCCAGUUAGGCCCAGGGGGUAGGUCCUUCACCAGCUGGGGUCGAGGUAGUAGUGGUGGUACUAAACAAACAUCUAAAGAUAAUGAGCCAAAAGUCCCUGUACCGUCUAAUAGGUUUUCAGCUUUAGCCGGUGACCAAACUACUUGUACUGAUUCUAGAAGAACUUCUCAAAGAUCAGCAGCUUCAAGUAGGGAAUCCAGUAGAGGUCGUACUAGUCAACUUCCACCUCCAGGACUAAGAAAGACGCCUUCUCAAACACUACCAAGAGAGAAGGAACAAUUAAUAGAAAUUACUAUUAAUAAAGAGAAACCUAGAACUGAGCCUAAGAAACUGAAGGAACAAGCUCCGACGUCCCUAGGCCUCACACUAAAUGGUGGACCUUUAAAUGAUGAAGAGGUUGAAAGACGCACCAAACACUUAAUUGAUGAAUUUCUUCAUCUUCAAGAUUUUAAGGAAGCCAUGCAUUGUGUUUCUGAAGUAUUUUCUUCAUCUACCGUUAGUCUAUUUAUUUUUUUCGCUUUUAAUCAAGUCCUUGAACGAUCUAGUCAGGCUCGCCAUUUGGUGGGUCAGCUCUUUCAUGACUUGGUUCGAAAAAACAUGAUUACUGUCGAGCAGUACGUCCAAGGGCUGAAGUCCAUCCUACAGUUAGCUGAUGACUUUGAGAUAGACAUACCAAAAAUUUGGUUGUAUCUAGGUGAAAUCAUAGCCCCCAUGGUCCAGGAUGGAAGCAUAUCUCUUGUUUUUCUUCAAGAUGCAGCUGAACCAUGUAUAGCUAGUGGUACGGCAGGAAUUCUCUUGUCAGAGGUGCUCCAUGUAGCUGUUGAAAAGCUGGGAUCCCUUAAAGUGGGUGAAUUGUGGAGAACUUCUGGAAUGCAGUGGAAAGACUUUCUAAAGCCUGGUCAGGAUGUUGACACAUUUAUUCAAACUCAUAAGUUACAGUUUACAGUAAAGGACAAUGAAGUACUGCCUGACACCUCCCUUUCCAUUGAUGACAUAAAGCGAGAACUUGACUUCCUUCUUCAGAAGAAGAAAGCUAAUAAUGAAGAAAUUCUUGAUUGGAUAGAGGCCCACAUUGGAGAGAGAAAAAGCAAGGACACCCAUUUCAUUCGUGUGCUCGUCACUGCUGUCAUAGAAAGUUGUAUUGAAGGAGACCAGAACAGGUGUGAAUUGAAUGCAAAAACUGUUGCUUUGAGGACUACUGUACUUCAACGUUAUCUUGACCACAAAGAGGAGCUGGAACUUCAAGCACUUUAUGCAUUACAAGCUCUUGUGCACAGGUUAGAACAUCCUAAAGGUGAGUAGUUGACUUCAUUACAAGCUCUUGUACAUGGGUUAGAACAUCCUAAAGGUGAGUGGUUGACUGCUUUACAAGCUCUUGUACACGGGUUAGAACAUCCUAAAGGUGAGUGGUUGACUGCGUUACAAACUCUUGUACGCGGGUUAGAACAUCCUAAAGGUGAGUGGUUGACUGCGUUACAAACUCUUGUACGCGGGUUAGAACAUCCUAAAGGUCUCCUGCGCUUAAUUUUUGAUGCCCUCUAUGAUGAGGAUUUAAUAUCUGAUGAUGCCUUUACCCAAUGGCAGAAGAGCGAUGAUCCAGCCGAAAAAGAAGGGAAAGGUGUGGCUCUAAAGUCAGUAAUGUC